GCCGCAGGGAAACCGAGUCUUAACCGGGCGUUAAGUUGCAGGGUAUAGACCCGAAACCCGGUGAUCUAGCCAUGGGCAGGUUGAAGGUUGGGUAACACUAACUGGAGGACCGAACCGACUAAUGUUGAAAAAUUAGCGGAUGACCUGUGGCUGGGGGUGAAAGGCCAAUCAAACCGGGAGAUAGCUGGUUCUCCCCGAAAGCUAUUUAGGUAGCGCCUCGUGAAUUCAUCUCCGGGGGUAGAGCACUGUUUCGGCUAGGGGGCCAUCCCGGCUUACCAACCCGAUGCAAACUGCGAAUACCGGAGAAUGUUAUCACGGGAGACACACGGCGGGUGCUAACGUCCGUCGUGAAGAGGGAAACAACCCAGACCGCCAGCUAAGGUCCCAAAGUCAUGGUUAAGUGGGAAACGAUGUGGGAAGGCCCAGACAGCCAGGAUGUUGGCUUAGAAGCAGCCAUCAUUUAAAGAAAGCGUAAUAGCUCACUGGUCGAGUCGGCCUGCGCGGAAGAUGUAACGGGGCUAAACCAUGCACCGAAGCUGCGGCAGCGAACGUAUCACCCAAGACAACUUUACGGAGUUAACGAUUGACGGAGCGAAGCGACGUCAAAGCGUUCAUUAAAGUCGAGUUGGCUUAGGGAUACGUUCGUUGGGUAGGGGAGCGUUCUGUAAGCCUGUGAAGGUGGCCUGUGAGGGUUGCUGGAGGUAUCAGAAGUGCGAAUGCUGACAUAAGUAACGAUAAAGCGGGUGAAAAGCCCGCUCGCCGGAAGACCAAGGGUUCCUGUCCAACGUUAAUCGGGGCAGGGUGAGUCGACCCCUAAGGCGAGGCCGAAAGGCGUAGUCGAUGGGAAACGGGUUAAUAUUCCCGUACUUGGUGUUACUGCGAAGGGGGGACGGAGAAGGCUAUGUUGGCCGGGCGACGGUUGUCCCGGUUUAAGCGUGUAGGUGUGUGUUCCAGGUAAAUCCGGUU
rnacentral:rRNA from 1 species